rnacentral:rRNA from 1 species
AUGGAUGCAUCGUCGUGUAACUACUGUCGACCCACUCGUGCUGCUCCGGGGGAAACCCUAGGAUCUGGUGUUCCAGAUCGGACGAUGGCGGCACUGCGGUGUCGUUUCUCUCUUGGGAGCAUAAUUUGUGGAGCAGCGCUGGAAGUCAGAGGCAGGAGGUGGAGCGGCUUCGUCUUGCACGGAGCUUCGGUGGAGAUGUCAAGUCAUGCCUCACCGACAGGUGCUACGCUUUGUCAUGCCUGGUCGGCAGGUGCUACGCACGACAGAUCUUCCAAGGACUUCAAGCUGUGUCGGCUGCUGGUACUUGGCAGCAUGGCGCUGAGGUGUAUGAGUGGCGACCGCGACGUGCUCAGCUGUUUGCGCGCAGGGAGGAGGUGUUGUUGGGCGCCAUGGUGGCGUCGACGAUAG